rnacentral:misc_RNA from 1 species
AUUCUGCAACUUGGUCUGCAUGGAACAAAAGAAGCAAAUGAGAGACACAUCAAAUCAAUAUAUACCCUGAUUUUUCCCAAAAAUGAAGUGAUCUGCAUAAAAUAAUACAAUCUGGAUUGCAUCACAUUAAUGCAAAACUGUAAUAAUUCAAGUCCUUGAACAUUCUGUAGUAGCAUCCGAAUAUAAACACAUGCAUGAGUGCAAAACAAGGGAAAUCAAAUUCAGAGAUGACAUAUUUGCAAAAAAAUUCAGAGAUGACAGGGAACAUGAAGGCAUCACUUGUAGUUUAAAUCUCACCUGCCUACACCCUUGUCUAAAUCAAAGUCACCCAAAUUUGAGAAUGUACACAUUAACAUUCUUACAUACAAGUCUUCAAAACUAGCCUUAUUUUUCACUCUCUUUGCACUAUUCUUGAAUGUUUUUUUAACAGAAAAGGAAAGUUUCAAAAUUUCACCAGCAAAUCUUGACUUCCAUUCUAUAUUCCACCUCAGUUAUCCCCAGUGACUUCUAUCUUUACAUUUCAUCAACAUGAUCUACUGACAAAUUCAUUCUGUACAAACCAAACAUACUGUAGGUACAAUAAUAAGAGCAUAUUUA